rnacentral:lncRNA from 1 species
AUGUUGCUCGAAUAAGAAGCAUUGCUAGUGAGCUUCAUGCCUUGUUUAAAUACUUGAUUCGUAAUCAGAGUAUCUGUAGGAUGACCAAAGCUCUCCCAGAUCGAAGCUCCGUCGUCGCCGGAGACAACCACGAGGUUCCCCGAGUCGCGAAGCUCCAUUCUCGAAGCGUUUUUGUUUGCAUUGUCCAAUCUCCAAACCUCGGAUCCUCCUCCUUCUUCUCUGCGGAGGACGAUGGCUCCGUUGGCUUGGAACUGGAGCUUGUCGGAGUUCGAUACAGGGGAAGCUCUGUUCGCCGACCAGAUAAGUCUCGAACUGGAUUUGUGGAUGAUGCUGAGUGUGAAGAGAGUGACGUCAUCUGGUGUGGUUACGAAACCGAAACCAAAGUCUCUGUUGAUGGAUUCGAGGAAGAUACCGUCGUUGUUGAUGUAAUUCACCCGAGCUCCUUCGAAGCCUGGAGAGAUGCUUCCGUUGUAGGGUACACCGGCGUGUAGAGGAUGAGGGAAGAAUAUCAACAGAGAUGCUAAGAGGACACUGAAGAACAUUCUCAUGGCUUCCUGCUUUUCUUGUUUUUUCUUCUUUUGCUUGUUUAUGUGGAAAAAACCUCGACACACGUUAGAAAAAAAACCAAAAAUAAAUGUUUGGAUUGUGAUUCACGCUGAGAAUCGGAUAAGGAAAAGAAGAAGAAAAAAACAGUUAUUGGUCUUGUUACAAACAUUCUAGUCUAGCAAGAAGGUUUCAAAGUGGGAAAGCUUUUAGUUUUAGUGGUCACACGUGAGAUACGCGUGACUUAUUAUGUACGAGUAUAUACGAGUCUGAUCAUUAAGCUUGGAAGCUCCUCUCUUCAAAAUUGAAAUAAAAAUAAAUAAAAUUACAAAAAGUAUCUACUAGUAUCAGUAGAAAAUCGAUGAGUAGUGCAUUUUAAUCUAUGUAUACAAGUCGGAACAUUACAAAACUGAAACUGAUAAGAGCACUAAUGUUUUAAACAGAACAACAAUAUACAUACAAAUACAUGGUUGUAAUGUCAUCUAAAAACCUAUAAUAAGAAGACACUAAAAAACUAGGCUAUCUCGGACCGGAGAGUCUCACGGCCGAUAGAUAGUUCUCACUAUUACAAUCCGACGGUCCAGACGACGUACCCCCACCUUCCUCACUGAUCGACUUACAGAAGCUCGAGUAAAGCCUCGACCCCAAAGUGGAAGAAGACGGAGGCUGAACCACAUGAAAAACUCCUUCAAGCAUCUGAACAACUUUGCUCAUCGACGGUCUCAAAUGCAUAUCCUCUUGUAUACACCAAAGCGCAGUCUUCAUCGCUCUCUGAACUCUCUCAUCGUCCACGUCAACGUUCUUCAUCUUCCCGUCAACAAUCUCCAAAAGCUUCCCUUCUUCCAUCAUCUUGAACGCAUAAGAAGGAAAGUGACACUUCUCCGAAGACUCUGACGGAUCAUAGUUCUUUCUCCCUCCUAUCAGCUCUAGCAACACCAUCCCGUAGCUGUACACAUCGCUCUUCUCCGAGAUUGCGUAGUUUGUGAUCCACUCAGGUGCCAAAUAGCCUCUAGUCCCACGCAUAGUCGUGAAAACAUGACUUUGCUCUCGUGUCAUAAGCUUAGCUAGUCCGAAAUCAGAUACCUUGGCGUUGAAGUUAUCAUCCAAAAGAAUGUUCUCCGGUUUAAUAUCACAAUGGAUGAUCCUUGCGUCGCAAUCCUCAUGUAGAUAAGCUAAACCUUUCGCUGUUCCGACCGCGAUGUUGAACCUUGUGUCCCAAUCCAACAGAAUAUCUCCAUCUCUUCUCCUGAAUAUCCAUUUCUCCAACGAACCUUUCGCUAAGAACUCAUAAACAAGAAGCCUAUGAGCUCCUUCCGCGCAGAACCCCCUAAGCCGCACCAGAUGCAGAUGAUGAAUGCUACCGAUGAUACUAACCUCGGCUCGAAACUCUUUCUUCCCUUGACCUAUUCCUUCAAGCUUCUUCACCGCUAAACGUGAACCAUCAGGUAACGUACCUUCGUAGACCGAUCCAAACCCUCCUUGACCUAACUUGAUGGAGAAGUUAUUCGUCGCUGACUGAAGAUCUUUAAACGUAAACCUAAUCGGCAUCCCCGAUAGAUUCUCCAAGAAGUUAUCCUCCUCUGAGCUAUGCUCCUCAUCACCGUCCAAAACAGUUUUCGUCCUCGUUCUCCUAUGAAUCCGAAACGCCACGAAGAUCAAACAACCGAUGAUGAAAACCGUCGCCAAGACGAUAAUUACUAUAUAAGGAAAGUGUGUCCCAUCACCAUCAUCACCGUUAUCUCCACCUCCUAAACCAUUAGUAGCCACCUUGAUGUAAGAAACCAAACCAGACCCUCCACUUCCUGAGCUUUUAAAGCUACCGAUCCAAUCAAACAAGAAGCAGUCACCAGAGCUGUUCCGAAAGAACAAACCGAGGCACGAGCAGUUAGUGCUGCAGAACUCUUUACAGCUAUCAAGAGUUGUCUUCUUGGAGAAAGGAGAAGCAAACUCUAGCGCGAAGUAGUCAACACCGUCUCCAGCAUUUACAAGCUCCACAGGAGAAGAUGCGUUAUUGUCUUUCUUGUUAUCACAAAGAGAAGUAUCGAUUCCGGAUUUGCAAUCAGACCGAACUCUCGAUAAACCGGAGACGCAUCCACACACUUUACUCCCAGAGCAUGAGUAGUAAGACCCGCAAGGCUCGGGCGUCGCGCACUGAUCGCUCGGGAUUUUGGUCGAGGAAUCAGCAGCAGAGACACCGCUCCCAAGAUUCGAGAACGAGAUCACACCGUUGUUUCCUAGAACAGCGAUCCACGUGGCGUUAUCAUCUUUAUUAUCCGAAUAAACAAACUGCCAUAACAAAGACUGUUUCUCAUCAAAGAACCUCCACGAGUUCCCGAGGAGAGAGGAGGAAGUCACGACGCCGUUUUUUUCGAUGAUUCUCCCUCUGUCGUUCCCCAUGGACCAGUACGCUUGAGGUGUCGAGCUGUCGACGGAUAAAAGCAUAUCUCCUGAUUUGAUCUCGAGAGAGUAAGUCAUGUUGUUCGAAGACGGGUUGCUAGUGAGCUUCAUGUUUUCUUUAAAAGCCUGGUUUGUGAUCAGAGUAUCUGUUGGAUGAUCAAAGCUCUCCCAGAUCGAAGCUCCGUCGUCGCCGGAGACAACCACGAGGUUCCCCGAGUCGCGAAGCUCCAUUCUCGAAGCGUUUUUGUUUGCAUUGUCCAAUCUCCAAACCUCGGCUUCUCCUCCUUCUUCUCUGCGGAGGACGAUGGCUCCGUUGGAUUGGAACUGGAGCUUGUCGGAGUUUGAGACAGG